UCAUUGUAACAGUGGCAUGAG
ensembl:piRNA 21ur-2714 ncRNA